AUUGUGAAAGGCGAUGAGAUCAUGGCAAUUAAUGGUAAGGUUGUGACGGGCUUCACCUUGGCUGAGGCCCAGGCAACCCUACAGAACGCCUGGCACCAUGGUGCGGACUGGAUUGAUCUGGUCAUUGCAGUGUCUCCACCCAAGGAGUACGACGAUGAGCUGACAUUUUUCUGAAGUCCAGGAGACACCAAAUCCAUGGCUAGCUGACAUCUACUCUCUGAUUCUUCCAUAUGAACCUAUGACUGGUCAUCCACAUCUCUGACUUUGGUCCCCACAGAUCACGGGGUCCUUUUCUGGGAAGCUUCACAAGCAGUCUGCAGGACAUCUUCCCAUCUAUCAUUCAACACUAAUGCUUUCUUGAGCCAGACCUAAAACCGAGCGGCUCAAUCCUGCCCACCUCCUCUCCAGGCUGAGGCCCCAUAGAGCUGGGAGGGAACUCCCAGGAGGGCUAAGGGAGAAUGACUUUGAUGAGACUGAGGAGAAUCCUUUAUCAUCUCAGCAUUUUACUAUUUCUGAUGCCAUCUCUUCACCUGUGAAUUUGGUUUCUCCACAACUCCCAGAAUUCCACAGAGAACUAUUAGGAAUUAGAGCUUCCAUUCUCUCCCUUUAUCUUACCCCUCUCCCAACCCUGCCCAGAAUAAGAAUUUAGAGGAUAAUGCCAUUAAACUUUGUAGGACCCGCUCCAGUGCUCUCUGAAAUUGUUUUGCUCAGGAUGUAAUUAUUUGGGGGUUGGGGGCAGAGUACCCUCCUCUAAACUGGCCAAUAAACUGUUUACCUGAUUGUCAA